GACGAACGCUGGCGGCGUGCCUAAUACAUGCAAGUUGAGCGCUGAAGGUUGGUACUUGUACCAACUGGAUGAGCAGCGAACGGGUGAGUAACGCGUGGGGAAUCUGCCUUUGAGCGGGGGACAACAUUUGGAAACGAAUGCUAAUACCGCAUAAAAACUUUAAACACAAGUUUUAAGUUUGAAAGAUGCAAUUGCAUCACUCAAAGAUGAUCCCGCGUUGUAUUAGCUAGUUGGUGAGGUAAAGGCUCACCAAGGCGAUGAUACAUAGCCGACCUGAGAGGGGGGUCGGCCACAUUGGGAAUGGGACACGGCCCAAACUCCUACGGGAGGCAGCAGUAGGGAAUCUUCGGCAAUGGACGAAAGUCUGACCGAGCAACGCCGCGUGAGUGAAGAAGGUUUUCGGAUCGUAAAACUCUGUUGGUAGAGAAGAACGUUGGUGAGAGUGGAAAGCUCAUCAAGUGACGGUAACUACCCAGAAAGGGACGGCUAACUACGUG
rnacentral:rRNA from 1 species